UACGGAGGAUGCGAGCGUUAUCCGGACUUAUUGGGUUUAAAGGGUGCGUAGGCGGCUUAGUAAGUCAGCGGUGAAAUUUUGCAGCUUAACUGUAACAGUGCCGUUGAUACUGCCAGGCUAGGAUUUGGUUGCUGUGGGUGGAAUGUGUGGUGUAGCGGUGAAAUGCUUAGAUAUCACACAGAAUAUCGAUUGCGAAGGCAGCUCACAAAGCCAAGAUUGACGCUGAGGCACGAAAGUGUGGGGAUCAAACA
rnacentral:rRNA from 1 species